rnacentral:rRNA from 1 species
UGGGGAAUAUUGCACAAUGGGCGCAAGCCUGAUGCAGCCAUGCCGCGUGUGUGAAGAAGGCCUUCGGGUUGUAAAGCACUUUCAGCGGGGAGGAAGGCGAUAAGGUUAAUAACCUUAUCAAUUGACGUUACCGACAGAAGAAGCACCGGCUAACUCCGUGCCAGCAGCCGCGGUAAUACGGAGGGUGCAAGCGUUAAUCGGAAUUACUGGGCGUAAAGCGCACGCAGGCGGUUGAUUGAGUCAGAUGUGAAAUCCCCGGGCUUAACCCGGGAAUUGCAUCUGAUACUGGUCAGCUAGAGUCUUGUAGAGGGGGGUAGAAUUCCAGGUGUAGCGGUGAAAUGCGUAGAGAUCUGGAGGAAUACCGGUGGCGAAGGCGGCCCCCUGGACGAAGACUGACGCUCAGGUGCGAAAGCGUGGGGAGCAAACAGG